rnacentral:lncRNA from 1 species
UUUUUUUUUUUUUUUUUUUUUUUUUUUGUCUUUUUGUCUUUUGUCCUUUGUCUUUUGUUGUUGCUGUUGUUGCUAUUUCUUGGGCAGGUCCCGCGGCAUAUGGAGGUUCCCAGGCUAGGGGUGGAAUUGGAGCUACAGCUGCCAGCUUACACCACAACCCCAGUAACACAGGAGCCAAGCCAUGUCUUUGACCUAUACACAGCUCACGGCAACGCCAGAUCCUUAACCCACUGAGCGAGGCCAGGGAUACGUCCUCAUGGAUACUAGUCAGUCUUGUUACCUCUGAACCACAAUGGGAACCUCAUAGGAAACUAUUUUUACAAAAAAUGUCAAACAAAUGUCCAGCAUCAUUAGUAAUGAAAAGUGCAAAUUUAAACACACUCUUAGCCUAUCAUAUUUGUGAUUAUAGAAAAAAAUGAGACAUGAAUAAAGGAAUUAGAGUGAGCAUAAUUUUCGAUACUGGGUGGUGAUAGUAAUUGAUUUAAGGUUUGAAAUACUGGUAGAAGGAGAAGCCCUGGAAAUAAAUGUGCUCACUCACAAAGAGUGUAGGUAAAGACCCAAUAAUCCUAUCGGCUCAGAGGAUAAUUAAUAUGAGAUCCAUAGGACAAAAAUGUAUUCAAGGAAAGUUUAGUAUCAUUGUGCGUAGAAGGUUUUUCCGAGGAGAAGUUAAAGAAUUUAGAGCAGAGCUCUAAAGUCCACAGAAGGGGCAGAGACAUUUUGGUGAGUAUUUCUAAGCAUAGGUGUUCAAAGACAGAAAAAAAAGUGCCCACUGAACUGAAAAUCAGCCUGAGAUGGAAAAAAAAGGCAGGUGGCUUCAUACAACCAAUGGAUCAGUUUAUUAGAGGAUGUUACUUACAGGUGGGAUUCGGUUGACAGGGAACAGAAUAGCUGUAUUCCACACCCCUAAACGGCCAUUGGGACCAUUUUAUUUUAUUUUUGUCUUUUGUCUUUUUAGGGCUGCACUCGUGGCAUAUGGAAGUCCCCAGGCUAGGGGUCAAAUUGGAGCUACAGCUGUCAGCCUACCCCAUAGCCACAGCAACACCAGAUCGGAGCUGCAUCUGCAACCUAUACCACGGCUCACGUCAACGCCGGAUCCUUAACCCACUGAGUGAGGCCAGGGAAUUGAACUCGUCACCUCAUGGUUCUUAGCCAGAUUCAUUUCCACUGCACCUCGAUGGGAACUCCACUGGAACUUUUUAUAAUUAACCUAGAUUAUGGGGGGGGGUAUACGCUUGGAAAUAGGAAGUGCACUCUUAAGAUUUAUGAAUGGGUAACCAGUUUCGUGGGCAUUGGAAUGUGUCAGAGAAGGUUUUCACGAUUGUUUGGGAACCAAGAGAGCAUAGAGGCUACCUGGUCCUAAUGAUUAUUAAACAAUAUCUAUUAAUUACAAAGCCCUUGAUGACAGAGGAGUGAUUCACUAUAUAGUGCAGUCCUGGGGAGGGUCAGUGAAAGGACAGGAGAAACUGUGAGGGUCCAAGAUGGCCUCAGUUAUGCUAACAGCCAUACAGUAGGGUAAGGAAAUGUGGAUGUUUAGACUAGUGGGGAGAAGCUUGGAAGGCAUCAUAACAGUAAUGGGGUUAAUUGUGAGUUAAAGUAUGCAAUGACCAAUUACCUUCCAUAUCUAUCAAUGAGUGACAGAAAAAGAUGGGGGGGGGAACUAGCUCUGGCUUCGGGGAUUAAAAUGUAACCUAGGCCAAAAGGGGAAAUAAAAGUAAACCUCAACUAACCUUCCCAAAUUGCAAAUGCCGUGAGGGAGAACUGUAGUGGAUAUUGUACUUACUGGAGAAAGUCCAUGCCAUUGACCAGGAGAGAACUCUAUACCACUUGGAAAGCAGUUUCUGGGGUCCCGUUGGGCCCUGAUAGAGAAGGCGCAUCUGACCAGGAGACAGCAGUUGUCCGCACAACCAGGACCAUCCCUCACGAACUAUUUUUCCAAACUGUAAGGUUGGAUGGACCCAGCUGCAGUUUAUCAUAAGAUGAAAGUGGUACACUGGGGUAGGGCCAGACAGUGCAAUGGCUCAGAUCCCAUUCCUCUGGUGCCUCUCAGCACCAGCGGUGCACGGGGUCGCUUACGGCAUCUGAGGAAGGGAAAAAAAGAUUGUGCUUGGCUCAUAUGUGUCCGCUGAAUAUGCCAGUGGAUUUAAUAACUUAACAAGCCAAAGGACCAUGGCUACACCUGAACGCCACUCAGCUGUGUUGUUGAAAGAGAGCAAUGUGGAAGCCCUCCCAAUGGGACAAUCUCUUAGAAGUAAAGCUGGUUAUAUAUGUUUCCCAAGGUAUGACUGUUGCUUCUGUUGAAAACCCCACCUAGAAAAAAAGAAAAAAAAGUCUCACCCAUCAGCAGCAGAGACCACCACUGAGCCUCUGACAUGGCCCUAGGAAAACCAACCAGCCACUUGGCUACUUUGUGUCUCUUGCCCACUAAAAUCUUGAUCAAAGUCAAUACAUAUUCUUUUUUUUUUUCUUAGGGCUGCACCCGUGGCAUACGGAGAAUCCCAGGCUAGGGCUAGAAUUGGAGCUACAGCUGCCAGCCUACACCACAGCUACAGCCACACAAGAUCCGAGCCGCAUCUGCAACCUACACCCCAGCUCACGGCAACACCAGAUCCUUAACCCACUGAGUGAGGCCAGGGAUCGAACCCGAAACCUCACGGUUCCUAGUCAGAUUCGUUUCUGCUGCACCAUGAUGGGAACUCCCCAUAUUCUUAAUACAGGUUUGUUUUUCUUGAUGCGAGGCCUCAGCCAGCACCACCAUCUGAUACCUUAUAGGGUGUUUUGUAGAAGCAAAGGAUCAAAGCUGAGUCCUACUUUAAAGCAAAACGGGUAUGGGAGUUGGUACAUGGUCAUGGGAUCCAUUAGUUCUAUCUCACAUUUCAUCACCUAGAAGCCACUAACAUGGUAGAGCAGUAGAAUGGUCUUUAUAAGACCAGCCAAGAUCUCACUUUAGAGUUAAUACCCUUUAAGGAUGGAAUAUCAUUAUCCAGGGCAUUCUAAACCAGGGACCAUUGUAGAGCGCUGUUCCCUGUCCCCAGAAGGUAGAAUACAUGAGUCUAGGAAACUAAAGGAUGGAACUCGAGUGGCCCCUCUUAAUCACUCCCAGAGACCCUCGUGGGGAAUCUGUGCUUCCCAUACCUGUAGCUUUACUCUUCAGGUCUAGAAGGGGCCGCUUCCAUCAGGGGACACAGUAAGAAUCGCAUCAAACUUUAAGCUACGGCUGUGGCUGGCGCACUUCCAGUCCCACGUGCCAAGAGAACAGCAGGCAAAAAAGGAAACGCAGGGUAACUAGGGCUGCUCUAACUCAACGGGACAGGGAAGAACAUGUUUGAUCUUCAGGAGAUCCACGAGGGCCUCUUAGUGUUCC